GGGGUUCGAAGAUUCGAAAUUUUUAAAUUUGAUCCAACGGUUAUAAUGAUUAUAAUUUUUAGAGAAUUUUCUGUUUGUAAUUAUUGAAUUAAAUUUCAAGAGUCUGGAUCCGGAAAGGAUCUUUUCCCAUCUCCUCAAUCUCCAGUCUAUAUAAGGUGCUGCUAGGUUCCGAUUAUAGAUACAUAUAAAUUAUAUAAGAUGGAGCGUUCCAUGCGUUUAUUUCCAACCGUCUUCGUCUUCCUGCUACUUUUGGUGGCCACCGGGACGAUGGUUGCUGAGGGUAGGACCUGCGAGUCUCAGAGUAACCGUUUCAAAGGAAGCUGCGUGAGUAAAAGUAACUGUGCUGCUGUUUGCCAAACUGAGGGCUUCCCCGGGGGCAAUUGCCGUGGCUUACGCCGUAGAUGCUUUUGCACUAAACAUUGUUAAUUAUCUAAUUAAUUAAGCUAGUGAUGAGCUGAUCACUCAUCACUUAAUUAUCAGUGGGUGCAUGGACGCAGGUACUUUGGUACGAGUGUGGAACUAGCUAGAAUAAGUUAAUGGCCCAAUUCACAGUUGGGUUGUUAACAUCCUAUCCCUGUUAUGGUUCUUAAUGUUCUUGUUUGUUAAGUUAAGUACUACCGUCGUGAGUUAUUUCAUAAUGUCGUACUAUGUAACUUCUAUAUUUGUCAAUGAAUUUAAGUAUUUCUAAUGCCCUACGUUUGAAAUGCAAUUAAUCAUCAUUUUCUCAAGGGUUCUGCUUUAAGAUUCAUUUUAUUAGGCUUAGCCAAAUUAGCUAAAGCAACUUAAUCUUCCUCUACACCUAAUGUUCAAAUCAUGAUCUAUAAUUUAUGUUAAUUUGGUAUAGACAUACUAAAAAUUGUGUAAAAACAAUCGUUUUGUUAUAUGGUCCUUUUAAGUGAGAUAUUUGUCGCUUCAUUUACAUAUAAAAAUGUGAAUAAUAAGUCAAAUGUGCCUAAAAUCCAAAAAUUCGUUUAAAAGUAAAAGUUAAGUGUGCUUGAAGAAGAAACCAUAAUAUGCACGGAAAAAUGUAGGGUGGAGAACCUAGUCAUCAAAAAUAGGAAUUUGGUUUAUGGUGCUUCUUAAGCUGAAAAUUUCAACUUUUUAUUUUGAGUAUGGAGCUACCUCUUGUUACGGAGAAUAAUCCUUUUUAAUCUGCCCUCGAUCCCUAUAUAAUAAGUCAUACACAAACACAUAAAUCAAGCACACAUUCACAUACACACAAAUAAAAAUGGAGCAUUCAAUGCGCCUUGUUUCUGCUGCCUUCGUUCUUGUCCUGCUUUUGGCCACUACCGAGAUGGGGCCAAUGGGUGUUGAGGCAAAGUCCAAAUCAAGCAAGGAAGUUGAGAAAAGAACCUGUGAGGCUGCGAGCGGCAAGUUCAAGGGGAUGUGCUUUUCGUCUAACAACUGUGCAAACACCUGCGCAAGAGAGAAAUUCGAUGGAGGCAAAUGCAAGGGCUUCCGCCGUAGAUGCAUGUGCACCAAAAAGUGCUAAUUGAUUUGUUAAAAGAAAUGUAAACUGCAUAUGGAUCAUACUUGUGUAAUGAGAUCAAUUGAUAUGAUCCUGUAUUCACUUUUGCUAAUAAAUUGAAUGAUCAUGCAUGGAUCAUUAUUCUUA